rnacentral:rRNA from 1 species
UACAGAGGGUGCGAGCGUUGUCCGGAAUCACUGGGCGUAAAGGGCGCGUAGGUGGCGGCCCAAGUCCAUGGUGAAAGCUCGAUGCUCAACAUCGAGUCGGCCACGGAUACUGGGUUGCUCGAGCACUGUAGGGGCAGAUGGAAUUCCGGGUGUAGCGGUGGAAUGCGUAGAGAUCCGGAAGAACACCGGUGGCGAAGGCGGUCUGCUGGGAGUGUGCUGACGCUGAGACACGAAAGCCAGGGGAGCGAACGGG